AGUGGGGAAUAUUGGACAAUGGGCGCAAGCCUGAUCCAGCCAUGCCGCGUGGGUGAUGAAGGCCCUAGGGUUGUAAAGCCCUUUCAGCGGGGAAGAUAAUGACGGUACCCGCAGAAGAAGCCCCGGCUAACUUCGUGCCAGCAGCCGCGGUAAAACGUAGGAGACAAGCGUUAUCCGAAUUUACUGGGCGUAAAGCGCGUGCAGGUGGUGCGGUAAGUUGCCUGUGAAAUCUCCUGGCUCAACUGGGAGAGGCCGGGCAAGACUGCCGGACUAGAGGGCGGUAGAGGGAGGUGGAAUUCCCGGUGUAGUGGUGAAAUGCGUAGAUAUCGGGAGGAACACCUGUGGCGAAAGCGGCCUCCUGGACCGCACCUGACGCUCAGACGCGAAAGCUAGGGGAGUGAACGGGAUUAGAAACCCCGGUAAUCCUAGCUGUAAACGAUGUGGACUGGGUGUCGGCGGGGUAAAAGCCGUCGGUGCCGAAGCCAACGCGAUAAGUCCACCGCCUGGGGACUACGGCCGCAAGGUUA
rnacentral:rRNA from 1 species